rnacentral:rRNA from 1 species
GACGAACGCUGGCGGCGUGCGUAAUACAUGCAAGUCGAGCGAAGUUUUUCUGGUGCUUGCACUAGAAAAACUUAGCGGCGAACGGGUGAGUAACACGUAAAGAACCUGCCUCAUAGACGGGGACAACUAUUGGAAACGAUAGCUAAUACCGGAUAACAGCAUAAAUCGCAUGAUAUAUGUUUAAAAGUUGGUUUCGGCUAACACUAUGAGAUGGCUUGCGGUGCAUUAGCUAGUUGGUGGGGUAAAGGCCUACCAAGGCGACGAUGCAUAGCCGACCUGAGAGGGUGAUCGGCCACACUGGGACUGAGACACGGCCCAGACUCCUACGGGAGGCAGCAGUAGGGAAUCUUCCGCAAUGGGCGAAAGCCUGACGGAGCAACGCCGCGUGAGUGAAGAAGGAUUUCGGUUCGUAAAGCUCUGUUGUUAGGGAAGAAUGAUUGUAUAGUAACUAUAUACAGUAGAGACGGUACCUAACCAGAAAGCCACGGCUAACUACGUGCCAGCAGCCGCGGUAAUACGUAGGUGGCAAGCGUUGUCCGGAAUUAUUGGGCGUAAAGCGCGCGCAGGUGGUUUAAUAAGUCUGAUGUGAAAGCCCACGGCUCAACCGUGGAGGGUCAUUGGAAACUGUUAAACUUGAGUGCAGGAGAGAAAAGUGGAAUUCCUAGUGUAGCGGUGAAAUGCGUAGAGAUUAGGAGGAACACCAGUGGCGAAGGCGGCUUUUUGGCCUGUAACUGACACUGAGGCGCGAAAGCGUGGGGAGCAAACAGG